rnacentral:tRNA from 1 species
AUUAUUUUGGCAGAUUAGUGCAAUAAAUUUAGAAUUUAUUAAUGUAAUUUAUAUUACAAAUAAUACUUGUUUUU